rnacentral:rRNA from 1 species
GCAGCCUUAGAGUUUGAAUCUGGCUCAGGAUGAACGCUAGCGGCAGGCUUAAUACAUGCAAGGCGAAGGGGCAGCAAUGUCACUGUCGUACGGGUGCGUAACGCGUAUGCAACCUACCUAUCACUGGGGGAUAGCCCGGGGAAACCCGGAUUAAUACCGCAUAAAACAGGGGCACCGCAUGGUGAUAUUUGUUAAAGAUUUAUUGGUGAUAGAUGGGCAUGCGUUCGAUUAGCUAGUUGGCGGGGUAACGGCCCACCAAGGCGACGAUCGAUAGGGGAGCUGAGAGGUUGAUCCCCCACACGGGCACUGAGAUACGGGCCCGACUCCUACGGGAGGCAGCAGUAGGGAAUAUUGGGCAAUGGAUGCAAGUCUGACCCAGCCAUGCCGCGUGCCGGAUGAAGGCCCUCAGGGUUGUAAACGGCUUUUAUUCGGGAAGAAGAGCAGGGAUGCGUCCUUGUGUGACGGUACCGAAUGAAUAAGCACCGGCUAACUCCGUGCCAGCAGCCGCGGUAAUACGGAGGGUGCGAGCGUUGUCCGGAUUUAUUGGGUUUAAAGGGUGCGUAGGUGGCCUGUUAAGUCAGUGGUGAAAUACGGUUGCUCAACAAUCGAGGUGCCAUUGAUACUGACCGGCUUGAAAUAAUUGGAGGCUGCCGGAAUGGAUGGUGUAGCGGUGAAAUGCAUAGAUAUCAUCCAGAACACCGAUUGCGAAGGCAGGUGGCUACGAUUGGUUUGACACUGAGGCACGAAAGCAUGGGGAGCAAACAGGAUUAGAUACCCUGGUAGUCCAUGCUGUAAACGAUGAGGACUCGUUGUUUGGCUGCAAAGCUGAGCGACUUAGGGAAACCGUUAAGUCCUCCACCGGGAUCCCCCGGG